rnacentral:rRNA from 1 species
GGGUCGGUUCGGCCGGAUUUUACACAAGUGUUGCAUGGCUGUCGUCAGCUCGUGUCGUGAGAUGUUGGGUUAAGUCCCGCAACGAGCGCAACCCUCAUCCUUAGUUACCAUCAGGUAAUGCUGGGGACUUUAAGGAAACUGCCAGUGAUAAACUGGAGGAAGGUGGGGAUGAUGUCAAGUCAUCAUGGCCCUUAUGGAGUGGGCUACACACGUGCUACAAUGGUGGCUACAAUGGGCUGCAAAGUCGCGAGGCUAAGCUAAUCCCUUAAAAGCCAUCUCAGUUCGGAUUGUACUCUGCAACUCGAGURCAUGAAGUUGGAAUCGCUAGUAAUCGUGGAUCAGCAYGCCACGGUGAAUACGUUCUCGGGUCUUGUACACACUGCCCGUCACGCCAUGG